GGCCAGAUAGUGCAACGGUAGCGCGCGCACCGUAUAUGUUGACCAAUGUAUGCUCGCGAGGUCUUCGUUUGAUUCGAAGUCUGGCCA